GUCACUGCUAUUGGGGUCCGGCUAAGCCAUGCCAGCGGAGGGCGCGGUCGAAAGAUCGUGGCCCCGCACACGGCUCAGUAACACGUACUCAACCUACCCUUGGGACGGGGACAACCUCGGGAAACUGAGGCUAAUCCCCGAUAGGCGGGGGACGCUGGGAUGCCUCCUCGCCCAAAGCUCCGGCGCCCGAGGAUGGGACUGCGGCCUAUCAGGCUGUUGGUGGUGUAACGGACCACCAAACCUACGACGGGUACGGGCGAUGGGAGUCGGAGCCUGGAGAUGGGGACUGAGACAAGGCCCCAGGCCCUACGGGGCGCAGCAGGCGCGAAAACUCCGCAAUGCGCGCAAGCGUGACGGGGGGACCCCAAGUGCCGUUGGUCUUUCGAUCGACGGUUUUUAGGAAGUCUAAGAAGCUUCCAGAAUAAGGGCUGGGCAAGACUGGUGCCAGCCGCCGCGGUAACACCAGCAGCCCAAGUGGUGGCCACGAUUAUUGGGCCUAAAGCGCUCGUAGCCAGAUCAAUAAGUCCCUUGUGAAAUCGGGCCGCCCAACGGUUCGGCGUGCAAGGGAUACUGUUGGUCUUGAGGCCGGGAGAGGUCGGAGGUACUCCUGGGGUAGCGGUGAAAUGCUCUAAUCCUAGGGGGACCACCAGUGGCGAAGGCGUCCGACCAGAACGGACCUGACGGUGAGGGGCGAAGGCUAGGGGAGCGAACGGGAUUAGAUACCCCGGUAGUCCUAGCUGUAAAGCAUGCGGGCCAGGUGUCUAGCGCUCCUUGAGGGCGCUAUGUGCCGGAGGGAAGCCGUUAAGCCCGCCGCCUGGGAAGUACGGUCGCAAGGCUGAAACUUAAAGAAAUUGGCGGGGGAGCACCACAAGAGGUGGGACCUGCGGUUCAAUUGGAUUCAACGCCGGG
rnacentral:rRNA from 1 species